CUGAUAAAGUCAUGCCGAUUAUAAGAUACACAGUUUUCUCUGCUUUCAAAUCUUUCUGUUUGAACCCGUCGAACUGGAACUUAUCAAUUAUUGAUAAUAUUAAUUAUUUGGAAAACAAAAGGUCCUGGAAUGGAGUACUUUUUAAUCAACAGCAUUGUCCUAUAUUAGUUAUAAAUAAAGUUGAAUUCUUUGAUUCGCUGUUUUACGUCAUGCCCGCUAACAAAUUGAAAACUGUACCUAUAUGCCUUAUUUUAGUCCAGAUUUUUAGUAUUCGUAUUGUUAUCUUAGAAAGUCUAACUGAUUAAAAUACUACAAUAGGUAACAAUUUGACAAUUAAGUAGUGUCAACCCUGUGAUUAUGACCCGUGUAAUACUAUAUAGCAUAUUAAUCCUGAAUAUACCGUUUGGUGGUUCGCCUGUCAGAUGCGGAACGUACAGAUAAGGUAAUCGGUAACAGGUGAAUAUACUAUUGGUAUCGGUAUCGGACUCAACCCGGAACUUCUUAAUUAUUGGCAAUAUUAAUUACGUGGAAAACAAAAGGGCCUGGAGUGGUGUAAUUUUUAAUCUACACCUUUGUACUAUAUUAGUUAUAUAUAAAGUUGAAUUUUUUUAUCCGUCGUUUUUACGUGAUGACGGCUGACAAAUUGGACCUCGUAAUUUUAGUAUUAUAGAUACUAAAUUAUGUUUUGCUAAUUAUAGUAAUGAACUACAUGAUAUUUGAUAUUUUUUUACUUUUCAAAAAUUUGUAAAAUUUAGAAUAAAUAUAUUUU
rnacentral:lncRNA from 1 species